UGCGGAGGGAUCAUUACCGAGUUUACAACUCYCCAAACCCCUGUGAACAUACCUAUAAUUUGCCUCGGCAGACUCAACGACGGUGCUCCGAGAAAUCGGGCGCCGCUCGCUGCCAGAGGAACCCCAAACUCUAUGUAUUCUUGUGGAUCUUCUGAGUAAAACAAAACAAAUAAAUCAAAACUUUCAACAACGGAUCUCUUGGUUCUGGCAUCGAUGAAGAACGCAGCGAAAUGCGAUAAGUAAUGUGAAUUGCAGAAUUCAGUGAAUCAUCGAAUCUUUGAACGCACAUUGCGCCCGCCAGUAUUCUGGCGGGCAUGCCUGUUCGAGCGUCAUUUCAACCCUCAAGCCCCCCGGGCUUGGUGUUGGGGAUCGGCGAUAGUCGCCGUCCCCCAAAUCUAGUGGCGGUCUCGCUGUAGCCUCCAUUGCGUAGUAGCUAACACCUCGCAACUGGAACGCGGCGCGGCCAAGCCGUUAAACCCCCAACUUCUGAAUGUUGACCUCGGAUCAGGUAGGAAUACCCGCUGAACUUAAGCAUAUC
rnacentral:rRNA from 1 species